GGUUUGAUUCUGGCUCAGAUUGAGCAGCUGGCGGGAUGCGCACUUUACACAUGCAAGUCGAACGGCAGCACGGACUUCGGUCUGGUGGCGAUGGCGAACGGGUGAGUAAUGUAUCGGAACGUGCCUAGUAGCGGGGGAUAACUACGCGGCGUAGCUAAUACACAUACGCCCUUCGAGGAAAGCGGGGGACCUUCGGGCCUCACACUAUUAGAGCGGCCGAUAUCGAAGUUAGUUGGUGGGGUAACGGCUCACCAGGCGACGAUCCGUAGCUGGUUUGAGAGGACGACCAGCCACACUGGGACUGAGACACGGCCAGACUCCUACGGAGGAGGCAGCAGUGGGGAAUUUUUGGACAAUGGGGAAACCUGAUCCAGCCAUCCCGCGUGUGCGAUGAAGGCCUUCGGGUUGCAAGCACUUUUGGCAGGAAAAGAAACAGCUUUUGGGAUAAUACCCCGUGCAACUGACGACGCCUGCAGAAUAAGCACCGGCUAACUACGUGCCAGCAGCCGCGGUAAUACGUAGGGUGCAAGCGUUAAUCGGAAUUACUGGGCGUAAAGCGUGCGCAGGCGGUUCGGAAGAAAGAUGUGAAAUCCCAGAGCUUAACUUUGGAACUGCAUUUUAACUACCGAGCUAGAGUGUGUCAGAGGGAGGUGGAAUUCCGCGAUAUAGCAGUGAAAUGCGUAGAUAUGCGGAGGAACACCGAUAGCGGAGGCAGCCUCCUGGGAUAACACUGACGCUCAUGCACGAAAAGCGUGGGGAGCAAACGGGAUUAGAUACCCUGGUAGUCCGCGCCCUAAACGAUGUCAACUGGCUAUUUAAGGGCCUUCGGGCCUUGGUAGCGCAACUAACGCGUGAAGUUGACCGCCUGGGAAGAUACGGUCACAAGAUUAAAACUCAAAGGAAUUGACGGGGACCCGCACAAGCGGUGGAUGAUGUGGAUUAAUUCGAUGCAACGCGAAAAACCUUACCUACCCAUGACAUGUCUGGAAUCCCGAAGAGAUUUGGGAGUGCUCUUCAAAGAGAAGAACGGAACACAGGUGCUGCAUGGCUGUCGUCAGCUCGUGUCGUAUUGAGAUGUUGGGUUAAGUCCCGCAACGAGCGCAACCCUUGUCAUUAGUUGCUACGAAAGGGCACUCUAAUGAGACUGCCGGUGACAAACCGGAGGAAGGUGGGGAUGACGUCAAGUCCUCAUGGCCCUUAUGGGUAGAACUACACGUCAUACAAUGGUCAGGACAGAGGGUCGCCAACCCGCGAGGGGAGCCAAUCCCAGAAACCCGAUCGUAGUCCGGAUCGCAGUCUGCAACUCGACUGCGUGAAGUCAGAAUCGCUAAUCGCGGAUCAGCAUGUCGCGGUGAAUACGUUCCCGGGUCUUGUACACACCGCCGUCACACCAUGGGAGUGGGUUUUACCAGAAGUAGUUAGCCUAACCGCGUAAGGAGGGCGAAUUACGGUAGGAUUCAUGACUGGGGGUGAAGUCGUAACAAGGUAG
rnacentral:rRNA from 1 species